ensembl:lncRNA
ACUCUGGCUUAAGCUUUUUCAGGGCUUGGUGUUCCGAACACACAGUGAGCUCACAGUUUAAAGACAUCAAUUAGGAGUUGACAGGUAUGGAAAACUAGAGUUGUGUAAAGGUAAAUUAGGCUUUAGGUUAUAUAUAUGGUUUUUAAAAACUCUGUAGUGUUUAUUUGGCCAUAGUGAAGUGCGAGGGACUUGUGAAGCACAAUAGAAAGCACUUGGUCGUCUUAGAGUUAAUGUGUACAGAAGUAACCAUUGUAGCCUGAUGCACUAGUCAUAACAGGUAAAUAAACAUGACCAGGUGAAGGCCGACCAUAGAUCUAAAGCAUACACAUUAUAGAUCUGAGCAUGAAAGGAAUGUUUCUGAAGCACAGCAUGGUUAACCAGAAUAGUUAGCCAGGGUCGUAAAACAAAGUUAGUGGUAGAGGAGAAGCAUAGGUGUACAAUUUGACAGUCUUUCAUAGUUAUCUCUUCCCUCUGUCUGUCCCUGUCUACACACGGUCUCCUCCCUUCUGUUCUUCCUAAGAUCUUCACUCUGAACACUAGUCCUUGUAUUUACAUUUGGGGCAGAGGAUUUCAGAGCCAUUAGCCAGCACCUUUUUAUCUGCUAUCUUAUAAUGUCCUAUAACAUAUAGCAAAACACUAGUUAGUGAAUAAGAAACCGUAGCCCUUGGUACUUUCUACACCUAAAUAGAGGCAUGUAAUAAAUUAUCAUUAGCCUAUUCUGUGCUUCAGUUGACACAGGAGACAGGGACAUCCUCUAGCAUCUUAAGAUAAUUAUCUAUUGAACUGAACUGAAAUUUACUUGUCCAGGAAUCCCAGCUGCACUCCUGCAGGGCUGUAUGAAGUGUUCUGAGAAGGAGUCGGGAGACUCUUGUUCUCUGGAUGAGAAUGGCCACCAUUACAAUGUUUGCAUAGCGUAGGGUGUGCAGAGUUUAUUUAAACAACCUCCAUUCUGCUGCCCCAUUAAAUACUGCUGACUUGUAAGGAAUCUUGCUUUAGAGUUUAAUGCACUCAAAGUUACGAGGUGGACCUUAUAUAGUAUGUUUACCUGGCUGCUAUUUGGGGUUUGGGGAACAUGAGGGGUGGGGUGAACUGUUGUUGUUUUAGGUUUCAGUCAGACAGACAUCCCUGCGCCUCAGUUCCCAGAAGCACAGCAGGCCUCUAGGAGCAUCCGUGGGAAAGGCGCAGUCCUGGCAUCACCAGCUUCUCCUCCUCAGGCUCAUCCCAUAUGCAGAGGUCAAAAGGGUGGGGCUUGAGAUGGGGGAAGGAACGAGAACAUAGACGCUAUGUCAUUGCAGUGCUGCUGUCGACCAGCUUUUGGUGCUUCUGUCAGUGUGUGUUUGCUUGUUUUAAGUUGGCAAGUCUGUACAUACAUUAUUCGGGAGGGUGGAAAACAAGCCAUUAUCACUGCUAGUCAGUCUUGGGAAUCAGUACGUAACGUCAAAUUUCAAAUGUGGACUCCAGUGACAAAGAAUGGGAAUAGCAGUGAAUAUUAGAUUUUUAAAGGCAGAAGACAUCAUCCACUCAGCUCUCUUAGAACCAUGUUUUGCCAUUCUUUUCCCUCCCCUGAAUUUUUCUGUGUUUGUAAAUAGUUUAAGGAAAAUACAUUCAUGGUCAGCCCUUUCUAAGAGACUUAUUGAAUAUUAACUCUUAUGCAAAAAAAUAUAUAUAUAUUAUAUAUACCGAGUCUUAUGGGCAUACAAAUGCUACCCUAUUUUAAAUGUAGGUGGCGUAUGUGUUCGUGUUUUAAUGUAUCAGAGCCAUUGGGCAAUAAGCAGUCCAGAACAUUGAAAUCUCAAGCAGCAGAGAGAUAAACUGGUAGGUGGCAGCAGAGAAAGGAAUUCCUCAGACUGAUGGCUGUUGACUGAGAAGAGAUAGCAUGAGACUACCGAGUGGUGGAGGAGCAGCAGAGAUGAAGGCUGGACUCAGGAAGGCUGCCUCUUUACUGAAUGGUUCUCUCCAAGUAACCAGUGAUCUCCUGGAGAAGACAGAACUCGUCACUUUAGAGUGGAGCGAGGAUACGGAAUAAGAAAGAAGUUGUUCUUUGUGUCCUGUUGCAUUCAGUGUGGGUUUUCUUUGUGUAAAUUAAAACACUGAAUGGGGAUACAUAAAUCGGAGUGUGAUUUGUUGUUGUCAGCAGCUGCUGUUUGUGCCCACUCUGUCUCACGUGCUAGUCCAGGAGACAGAUCAGCCCAGGUCCUUCCUUCUUCCCCAGUUGUCUUUGCAGUGAGGUGAGGGCUCCUUUCAGCACAUAGGCAGGCAGUCAUGUUGGAUGGUCCCCCAUGAGUGCUCAUACUGAGUAGUUGUUGCCAUGGUAAUCACUGAAGAACUUGAAGAAGAACACUCCUAUUGCUCAGAUUCACAUCUAACAAUGGUUACCUUUGGACACAUCUGUCUCCAUAAUAUAUUUAUUUCAAAAGAAAGUGAACAAACUUAGCUUGUUGGAUGGAUAUAUAAGGAUUACCUAUGAUACAGUAUCACCCAUUGUUGAAUAUUAACACUGCCAGCCUUACACAUUGAGUUAUUGAUAGCUUAUUCAGAACUAUUGAAUUAUUUAAUUGGCUGAAAACAUGGGAUGUUGCCCAUGUUGGUAAACACUCUACUGAAAUAAAUGUGUUCC